rnacentral:tRNA from 2 species
GGGCCUGUGGUCUAGUUCGGCUAUGACGUCGCCUUCACACGGCGGAGGUCUCCGGUUCAAAUCCGGACAGGCCCA